rnacentral:rRNA from 1 species
GAUGAACGCUGGCGGCGUGCCUAAUACAUGCAAGUCGAGCGAACAGACGAGGAGCUUGCUCCUCUGACGUUAGCGGCGGACGGGUGAGUAACACGUGGAUAACCUACCUAUAAGACUGGGAUAACUUCGGGAAACCGGAGCUAAUACCGGAUAAUAUAUUGAACCGCAUGGUUCAAUAGUUAAAGACGGUUUUGCUGUCACUUAUAGAUGGGUCCGCGCCGCAUUAGCUAGUUGGUAAGGUAACGGCUUACCAAGGCAACGAUGCGUAGCCGACCUGAGAGGGGGAUCGGCCACACGGGAACUGAGACACGGUCCAGACUCCUACGGGAGGCAGCAGUAGGGAAUCUUCCGCAAUGGGCGAAAGCCUGACGGAGCAACGCCGCGUGAGUGAUGAAGGUCUUCGGAUCGUAAAACUCUGUUAUUAGGGAAGAACAAAUGUGUAAGUAACUAUGCACGUCUUGACGGUACCUAAUCAGAAAGCCACGGCUAACUACGUG